AAUUUUACAGUCGAGUCACUUAAUUUCUCCUGACUACGAUUAACCUUACGUUCCACUUCUAUUUAGUAAUCGGAAUUUAAUCGCACGUUCAUCGGCCAACGCACAGGAUUACGCGAAUUUCUCGGCUGCCUCGGUUUUAUUUACGCUUCAUCACGGUUGCCUCGUUAGGAGGAACACUCGCGGCUGUAAUUAACUCUCCGCGAGCCGAUGGAAUUUAUGCCGAUACGAUUUUUGUCAUAGAUUCUGCUACUUCUUUCUAACUGUAUAUACAUCGAAUAGAUCGACGUAUACCAUCGAUUAUCAUUGCUCCGUUAUCGUUGCGUAACGAGCUUGAAAACGCACGAGAUCCUUGAUCUCGUAGUUAGUCUUCAGACACAUUUGAAAGAUUCUUCAGACAAUUGCUCUCAAAUGUGUUUUCAAACUGUGUGUUCAUUUAAGAGCAACGUUUGAAAUUUUUCAUAAAUGGACGAUAGCUUUAUUCCGAAAGUUUUAUUAUUAAUUCACAAAUUGUAAUUAUAUUUCUCUUCAUCGAUCGACUCUUGCGACAGUUAUUCUCAGAAUACGAAACUGUAUCGGAAUUAAUUUAGAAAAUUCUCUUUUUCAGAUAAUUAUCCUCAACGCAAUAUCCAGUCGUGAUAAAUACUUUCAAGAGAAGUUUGCUAUAAUUUCACUCUCAAGUGGACACGUACCUUUCGACCGCAAUUUGUUCAAAUAAUUCGAAAGCAUCGGAUAUAUUAAUUUCACGCGGGUGAAGGGUACCCCGCGGUAAUUUUCAAAUUACAAGUUGGCCGCAGGCGAAGUACAGACCGUGGCCGUUCAGCCGCACUGGCCUUUAAGACAUUGUCUAAAUAAUAGUCUAAUGGAUAAGGUAUUCCAGGGCUGGGACCAGGCCGAUGGUGCCGCUUCCAAGAGUUGCUGCGUUGUGGUUACGCCAGUGUUUUAGAGGUUCUGGAAGUGGGUGCUCGGGCCGUUUUCUCCGGCAAACUGCCUCGUCUCUGGAUCCCCGGCUUGCACUUCAUUGGCCGCUCAACGGUCGUUGCUAACCCGGUUCUUGAAGAUUCAUCCCCGUGUGUCUCGUGCCGACGUGGCCUGAGCUCUUAUGGUUCCUGAACGCGAGGUACUCGAGUGAUCAUCCUCCGACGGAAGUUCUUGGAUGGACGACUUCUUCGAUGGAAAAAAAGUGUUCGAAAAGGUUAAUCUCAUUACGAGACCCUUGGGAUCGAGAUGUGGCCGGGGAUCGGGAAGAUUUCUCAACACGAGGAAGCUUUGAUGUCGGAAGAAUUGACACUGGUUAUCGCCGGUGAAGCAAAUAAUCAUCUCGACGAUGCUCUUUCGAAAAGAAGCAUAGAACCUAUAUCUAUAGCGAAGAAGCGCGGUAACGACGAGUGGAGAUCAUAACAGUUACCUUCCAGGAAUCAAUUGGAUCGCGAUGCUGAACAGUUAUACCAAUGCCAUUCCCUGUCCUAGACAAUCGUGCUUGACAGUUGCAGUACAAGGAUCGGCAAAGAAGCUUUCUCAACCACGAUCCUUCGCCGAAAGAAAUUCUCUAAUUAAAAACUCUGAACAAGAAGAGGAACAACUUACAGAGUUCGUUCACCCGUGUAUCUCGAAAAGUUUCACCUCGGAUAGUGGAAGUUGUAUAAAUUGUCCUUGAGACGAAUGAACCGUCACGUCCAUUUUGCCGAUAACACUUUUCGUGCGUUUCUGACGUAAACGAUUGUUACACAUCCGGAUUUAUCUAGAUUUACAAAGCAGCAUCAUAAAAUAAAUUGUCAAGCUUAACACAAUUCUUUCUCGAAUCGUUAUAAUAUCUGUCGCACGAUGUUGCUCGUUAAUUUCUGUUAAUUUGUGGCGUAAUCGAAUGAGAAUCUGGGAACGUUAUCUUCUUCUUGGAUAAUGUUUCACGUAUAUCAUAGCGCUUACUUUUUCUAUGGUUUCUGCCUAUGAAUGGAUUCAGAAGAAGAUGAAUUGCGUAAUGAUAUUCUUUUUCUUUCCUUUUUCUUUUUUUAACUCUUCCUUUUAUUCUCUAUAUUUCGCGAAGGAUUAUCAUACAAUGAGAUUACACGGAUGAACGUCUGAAAAUGUAACGGGUUUAUGACAGUGUCAAGCGGUAAAUAAUACGCUGUUAAUUUGUGGCGGCCAUCUGACGCGGGGCUUAGCGCGUUUACUUACGGUUUCCGGUGAGCAAGAAAUCGCAUCGUCCGAUAAUCAUCUGCAAUGUUAUCUGGCUCACGAUCACGGACCGUGUCCUCGGUCUGAUAUGGCUAAAUUAGUUCUGGGAACGCGAUUACCUGCUACCAUGCAAAUUGAAGUAACGUGGAGCGUUACGCCCCUCUGGUUACGUAUGCUUGCGUACGUAUAUUAUUUCUUUGCCUGAAUUCUUCUUCCCGGUUGAUGUUAUUUUCUUACAAAUUGAUUUUUAAUUUUUCAACUUCAAAUUUAAAGGAUUAUCACUUCCUCUCCAAAAAUUUAAUAUCAAGUUUACCAUCUACCAACCCAAUCGACACCACCUUGAUCAUGAAUUAAAAAGUCAAUCAACACGG